AUCUAGCUGACGAGUCCCAAAUAGGACGAAACGCGCGUCCUGAAU
rfam:Schistosoma mansoni strain Puerto Rico chromosome 3, complete genome